rnacentral:rRNA from 1 species
CCUACGGGAGGCAGCAGUGAGGAAUAUUGGUCAAUGGGCGUAAGCCUGAACCAGCCAAGUCGCGUGAAGGAAGACUGACCUAUGGUUUGUAAACUUCUUUUAUAGGGGAAUAAAGGUAUCCACGUGUGUCUAUUUGCAUGUACCCUAUGAAUAAGGAUCGGCUAACUCCGUGCCAGCAGCCGCGGUAAUACGGAGGAUGCGAGCGUUAUCCGGAUUUAUUGGGUUUAAAGGGUGCGUAGGUUGGUUUUUAAGUCAGCGGUGAAAGUUUGUGGCUCAACCAUAAAAUUGCCGUUGAAACUGGAAGACUUGAGUGCGGUUGAGGUAGGCGGAAUGCGUGGUGUAGCGGUGAAAUGCAUAGAUAUCACGCAGAACUCCGAUUGCGAAGGCAGCUUACUAAGCCAUAACUGACACUGAAGCACGAAAGCGUGGGGAUCAAACAGGAUUAGAUACCCCGGUAGUC